rnacentral:lncRNA from 1 species
AACUGAUUGGUGAGUAGGAAGCCAAAAGACACACACAGAGAACAGUACAAUCUUUUAAAAGCUCCAAGUCAUUAGCUUUAUUUUUACUGAAUUCAGCAUGGGAUGACAAAAAUGCAUUAUAUCACUACCAUCCAUUAUUACAUGUAGACAUUUAUCCUUGUAUUCUUUAUAUGUCCAUUUUCUACGUUAAAUCUGUUAACCAAUACUAAUUUAAAUUACAUGAUUUCCUACUAAAAAUAUGCAGUUCAUAUAAGCAAGGGCAAAUAAAUCCUCCUUAAAACAUUUUAUUCCUUUAUAAUUGAGAACUUAACAGUCUUAAUGGCUAGUUCUUAAAAAAUGUUUAUAGGAUUAAGUUUAUUUAAGAGAGCAGACAAACAAAACAUAUUGUAAAACUAGUAUUUUCCAGAAGCAAUUUCCAUUCUCUUCCUUUCUUCCUGCAAACUGGUGUUUUAUCUUUACAAGUUCUCUGUCAUUCCAUAAGAAAGCUGAACAGUGGUUAAAACAUCCAGUUUGCUUGAAUUCCUGAGUGAUUCAGAUUCCAGUGAGAUUGAGGGUCAUUCAUAACAGUUACAAGGCUGGUGUGGUAAAGGGAGAACAAAAAUAAACUGGGUUUCUGCAGGUAAGUGAGAAGACAAAAUGAAGAGGAAUAAGGUUGUAAGGCAGUAUGAUUAGGCUUGUGGGUGCUAUGCCUUCUGAUAAUAAUUAUGAACAGAAAUAGAAGCCAAAAAGUAAACAACAUGUAAGUUGUCAAUCUUUGACAGUUGAGGCAGGGAGAAGGAAGGAAGGAUGACAUUACACCUUAUCUCUGGUUUACUAGGCUGGUGUGUGAGACCAUUUGGGUGAAAUCGUAUUGAAAUCAUUCAUUGCUGAGGUGAUCAGCUUUCUUGCGGUCCUUUCUCUGCACUCUAUUCAAUGAUAAACUCCACUGGUUUAUACCUCCUGGAAAACAGUUAUUCAGAAACAUUAUAGGGGUAGCAUUGGUGAGACAGCCA